rnacentral:rRNA from 1 species
UAAGAGGUCCCGCCUGCCCUGUGACUAUAAGUUUAACGGCCGCGGUAUUUUAACCGUGCGAAGGUAGCGCAAUCACUUGUCUUUUAAAUGAAGACCUGUAUGAAUGGCACAACGAGGGCUUGACUGUCUCCUUUUUCAAGUCAAUGAAAUUGAUCUCCCCGUGCAGAAGCGGGGAUAGAACCAUAAGACGAGAAGACCCUAUGAAGCUUCAGACACAAAGCAGCAUUACGUUAAAUACCCCCUACUACGGGACCAAACUAAAUAGGACCUGCUCUAAGUCUUUGGUUGGGGCGACCUUGGGGUAAUAAACAACCCCCAUGUGGAACGGGACUACCUUUCCUCACCUACAACUAAGAGUCACAACUCUAAUUAACAGAACUUCUGACCAUCAAUGAUCCGGCAACGCCGAUCAACGGACCAAGUUACUCUAGGGAUAACAGCGCAAUCCCCUUUUAGAGCCCAUAUCGACAAGGGGGUUUACGACCUCGAUGUUGGAUCAGGACAUCCUAAUGGUGCAGCCGCUAUUAAGGGUUCGUUUGUUCAACG